UGAGUACAAGAUGCUACGGCAUCGAAGCAGUCUAUGUCAUACUUCCAAGAAAAGCUUGCACUGUCAGAAACAGAUAAUGCCUGUACCAUAACCGACACAGGUGGGUAGGUAGAGUAUACUAAGGGGCGCGAGAUAACUCUCUCUAAGGAACUCGGCAAAAUGACUCCGUAACUUCGGGAGAAGGAGUGCCUUAUUUUUAAGGUUGCAAUAACAAGAUCCAAGCAACUGUUUACCAAAAACACAGGUCUCCGCUAAGUCGUAAGACGAUGUAUGGGGGCUGACGCCUGCCCAGUGCCAGAAGGUUAAAGAAGUCGGUUAGCAUUCGCGAAGCUGGUAACUGAAGCCCUGGUGAACGGCGGCCGUAACUAUAACGGUCCUAAGGUAGCAAAAUUCCUUGUCGGGUAAGUUCCGACCCGCACGAAAGGCGUAACGAUUUGGAUACUGUCUCGGAGAGGGGCUCGGUGAAAUAGACUUGUCUGUGAAGAUGCGGACUACCUGCACCUGGACAGAAAGACCCUAUGAAGCUUUACUGUAACUUGAAAUUGAAAUUGGACUUUAUUUGCGCAGUAUAGGUGGGAGGCGUUGAAAAUAUUCUUGCGGGAAUAUUGGAGCCAUCAGUGAGAUACCACUCUUGUAAUGUUAGAUUUCUAACUUUAUAUCAUUAUCUGGUUAAAGAACAGUUUCAGGCGGGCAGUUUGACUGGGGCGGUCGCCUCCCAAAUGGUAACGGAGGCGCACAAAGGUUUCCUCUGAACGGGUAGAAAUCGUAUCUAGAGUGUAAAGGCAUAAGGAAGCUUGACUGUGAGACCUACAAGUCGAGCAGGGACGAAAGUCGGUCUUAGUGAUCUGACGGUGCUGAGUGGAAAGGCCGUCACUCAACUGAUAAAAGUUACUCUAGGAUAACAGGCUGAUCUCCCCCAAGAGUUCACAUCGACGGGGAGGUUUGGCACCUCGAUGUCGGCUCAUCGCAUCCUGGGGCGGUAGUACGUCCCAAGGGUUGGGCUGUUCGCCCAUGAAAGCGGUACGCGAGCUGGGUUCAGAACGUCGUGAGACAGUUCGGUCCAUAUCCGGUGUAGGCGUUAGAAUAUUGAGAGGAGCCUUCUUUAGUACGAGAGGACCGAGAAGGACAUACCUCUGGUGUACCAGUUAUCGUGCCAACGGUAAACGCUGGGUAGCUAUGUAUGGAGUGGAUAACCGCUGAAAGCAUCUAAGUGGGAAGCCCACCUCAAGAUGAGUAUUCUCA
rnacentral:rRNA from 1 species